GAUGAACGCUAGCGGCAGGCUUAACACAUGCAAGUCGAGGGGCAGCAUAAAGAAGUAGCAAUACUGAUUUGAUGGCGACCGGCGCACGGGUGCGUAACGCGUAUGCAACCUACCCAUAACAGGGGGAUAACACUGAGAAAUUGGUACUAAUACCCCGUAAUAUUGAAGAAGGCAUCUUCUUCAGUUGAAAGUUCCGGCGGUUAUGGAUGGGCAUGCGUUGUAUUAGCUAGUUGGUGAGGUAACGGCUCACCAAGGCGACGAUACAUAGGGGGACUGAGAGGUUAACCCCCCACAUUGGUACUGAGACACGGACCAA
rnacentral:rRNA from 1 species